GACGAACGCUGGCGGCGUGCUUAACACAUGCAAGUCGAACGGUGAAGCGCCUUCCUUUUUGGUGGGUGUGGAUGGGUGGCGAACGGGUGAGUAACACGUGAGUAACCUGCCCCCUUCUUCUGGAUAACCGCAUGAAAGUGUGGCUAAUACGGGUUAUUCUGGGUCUGUCGCAUGAUGGGUCUGGGAAAGAUAUGGUUUCGGUGGGGGAUGGUCUCGCGGCCUAUCAGCUUGUUGGUGGGGUGAUGGCUUACUAAGGCGGCGACGGGUGGCCGCCCUGAGAGGAUGGUGGACGGUCAUGGUGGUGAGGAGAGGCGGCCACGCCUCCUAGGGGAGGCAGUAGGGAGGAUUACUGCACAGGGGGCACCCGCAUGAUGCAGCGACGCCUGGGGGGGGAUGGUGGUCUGAUGGUUGAGAACCUCUUUCGGGGGUGAAGCAGGGUUGCCUCGUUUGUGGGUGGGUUGACGGUAGCUGGAUAAGAAGCGCCGGCUAACUACGUG
rnacentral:rRNA from 1 species